GACAGAGGAUGCAAGCGUUAUCCGGAAUGAUUGGGCGUAAAGCGUCUGUAGGUGGCUUUUUAAGUCUGCCGUCAAAUCCCAGGGCUUAACCCUGGACAGGCGGUGGAAACUACCAAGCUGGAGUACGGUAGGGGCAGAGGGAAUUUCCGGUGGAGCGGUGAAAUGCGUAGAUAUCUGGAGGAACACCGGUGGCGAAGGCGGCAUCCUGGACCGACACUGACACUGAGGAGCGAAAGCCAGGGGAGCAAACGGGG
rnacentral:rRNA from 1 species